rnacentral:rRNA from 1 species
CAAUAGCGUAUAUUAAAGUUGUUGCAGUUAAAAAGCUCGUAGUUGGAUUUCUGGGAGGGUGCCGCCGUCCGGCGUGUCCGUGUGCAGUGGCGCCCUUCCAUCCUUCUGUUAGCGUCUCUUGGCAUUCAUUUGCUGGUGGCGGGCUCAGAUAUUUUACCUUGAGAAAAUUAGAGUGUUUCAGGCAGGCUAGGCCGGAAUACAUUAGCAUGGAAUAAUGGAAUAGGACUACGGUCUCUUUGUUGGUUUGAGGGACUGCAGUAAUGAUUAAUAGGGAUAGUUGGGGGCAUUAGUAUUUAAUUGUCAGAGGUGGAAUUCUCAGAUUUGUUAAAGACUAACUUAUGCGAAAGCGUUUGCCAAGGAUGUUUUCAUUAA